UGUUUUGGAGACCUAUCAGUCCUUGGAGGCGGAGUGGGCUGAAGGGUUUUGAGGUUGCUGCCUCAGAGCGUGACGUGUCCUCCCCUUGUUUUUGCAGCGUUCGACAGGCUCUGGAUCAGCAUUUCGUUUUACCUCAGCCAACAGCUGGCUCUCCACCAGGAUGUCCACAUUCCUGGUCUGGGGACAUUUGCGGUGGUGAAGAAGGCAGUAGUCAGGACGGGGAAGGAUCUGGUGGUUGUGGUGAGACCCGUGUUCCGCCUGUGCCAGACUGUUGCAACGCAUUAUGGCCUCCGAUGCGCUGACACAGCCGCUGCUGUUCCUGGACGUCGUAAGCAGCUGCCCUAUGCUCGGAUCGCCUCAGACGACGGUGUCUUGCAGAGCACGGUGCAGCUUUGCAUGGAAAGG